AGCUCCGACGGUCUAGUGGUUAGAGCGUCCGCCUCGGAUGCGGAAGGUCGUGGGUUCGAUCCCCGGUCGAGUCA